GUGUGAUCAAGCGAUCAAGGGCGUAUGGUGGAUGUCUUGGCGUUGGGAGGCGAUGAAGGACGUGGUAACCUGCGAUAAGCCUCGGGAAGCUGGUAAACGAGCUGUGAACCGAGGAUCUCCGAAUGGGGCAACCCGGCCCGUAUGGGUCACUCUUACCUGAAUGCAUAGGGUAAGUAGAGCAAACCUGGGGAACUGAAACAUCUAAGUACCCAGAGGAAAGGAAAGCAACAGCGACUCCGUAAGUAGCGGCGAGCGAAAGCGGAUAAGAGACAACGUGAGCGGCCUGGAAUGGUCGGCCAAAGAAGGUGAAAGCCCUGUAGUGUUGUCGUUAGAGUCUUCAAGUAGGUUCGGGCUCGUGAAACCCGGUCUGAACGUGGGGGGUCCACCCUCCAAGACUAAGUACUACCCAACGACCGAUAGUGCAUCAGUAAGGUGACUGAAAGAUUAAAAGUACCGCGAUGAGCGGGGUGAAAGAGUACCUGAAACCAUGCGCCUACAAGCGGUGGGAGCCCGACCCUUCGGGGGGAGGUGACCGCGUGCUUUUUGCAUAAUGAGCCCACGAGUUAGUCUCUGCAGCGAGCCUAAGACCUACCGGGUCGGAGGCGAAGGGAAACCGAGUCUGAAUAGGGCGCUUAGUUGUAGGGGCUAGACGCGAAACCCGUGUGAUCUACCCAUGGCCAGGGUGAAGUUGGGGUAAGACCCAAUGGAGGCCCGAACCCGUACUCGUUGAAAAGAGUUGGGAUGAGCUGUGGGGAGGAGUAAAAGUCUAAUCAAACCGGGAGAUAGCUCGUUCUCUCCGAAAUAACUUUAGGGUUAGCCUCAGAUAGCAACAGUUGGGGGUAGAGCUACUGGAUGAGUGGCGGGCCCUACCCAGGGUACCCCAUUCAACCAAACUCCGAAUACCAACUGCCAAGGUCUGGGAGAUAGACUGCGAGUGACAAUAUCCGUAGUCAAGAGGAGAAAAAUCCAGACCGCCAGUUAAGGCCCCAAAUCUCUACUCAGUUCUUAAGGAAGUCGGAUUGCAAUGACAACCAGGAUGUUGGCUUAGAAGCAGCCACCAUUUAAAGAGUGCGUAACAGCUCACUGGUCGAGGAAUCCGGCGCCGAUAAUGAUCGGGAAUAAGUAGAGAGCCGAAACUGCGGACUUCGUAAGAAGUGGUAGGAGAGCGUUCCUGUCAGCAGUGAAGCGAAUCCGGAAGGAUUCGUGGAGCGUCAGGAAGUGAAUAUGUGGGCUUGAGUAACGAUAAUGUGGGUGAGAAUCCCACACGCCGAAAGCCUAAGGUUUCCUGGGGAAGGUACAUCCGCCCAGGGUUAGGCGGKACCUAAGRCGAGGCCGAARGGCGUAGUCGAUGGAMAGCWGGUUAAUAUUCCNNMGCMCWUWYRWRGRUYARMSSWYRGUGCGGAUYKYUGAGCUNNNCAMSRSGACUNWKWRRUGYCYAGGCCUUCGGGCCGUUGKWKGGGGAUWKRGUUCCUAGAAAAGCNNNYRKRKRKRCRAWGYAWGWCYCGUACYAAAACUGACACAGGUAGRCGRGGCGAAUAGCCUCAGGCGCUCGAGAGAAUGGUCGUGAAGGAAUUAGGCAAAUUAACUCCGUAMGUUCGCRAUAAGGAGGCCCUUCGGGGCGCAGAGAAAAGGYCCUGGCAACUGUUUAUCAAAAACACAGCACUGUGCUAASUCGCAAGASGMYGUAUACAGUGUGACGCUUGCCCAAUGCCCGAAUGUCACGGAAGUGGGUUUACGCUCACAACCUAAGCACGGGUCAAUGGCGGCCGUAACUAUGACGGUCCUAAGGUAGCGAAGUUCCUUGUCGGGUAAGUUCCGACGCGCAUGAAUAGYGUAAUGACUGGGRCACUGUCUCCACGACCAACUCGGUGAAAUAGUAGUGGCGGUGAAGAUGCCGCCUACCCGCAGCAAGACGGAAAGACCCCGUGAACCUUUACUGCAGGCUUAUAUUGGUCAUGUGCACAAGAUGCGCAGGAUAGGUGGGAGGCUUUGAAGCCGGUGCUUAGGCAUUGGUGGAGCCGUUGGUGAGAUACCACCCUUCUUGAGUGUGUGGCCUAACUUCGAUUCCCGUGAAUCCGGGCGAAGGACAGUGUAUGCUGGGUAGUUUGACUGGGGCGGUCUCCUCCUAAAGAGUAACGGAGGAGCGCAAAGUUUGGCUCAGCACGGAUGGAAACCGUGUGUUAGAGUGUAAGAGCAUAAGCCAGAUUUACUGCGAGUCCGACAGGACGAGCAGUCUCGAAAGAGGGCUCUAGUGAUCCUGCGAUCGCGUGUGGAAGCGUCGUAGCUCAUCGGAUAAAAGGUACUCCGGGGAUAACAGGCUUAUCGCUCCCGAGCGUCCAUAGCGGCGGAGCGGUUUGGCACCUCGAUGUCGGCUCAUCRCAUCCUGGGGCUGWAGGCGGUCCCAAGGGUURGGCUGUUCGCCYAUUAAAGCGGUACGCGAGCUGGGUUCAGACCGGCGUGAGCCAGGUCGGUCCCUAUCUGUCGUGGGCGUUCCAGACUUGACGGGAGUCAACCCUAGUACGAGAGGACUGGGUUGGACCAACCCCUGGUGUUCCAGUUGGACUGCUAAGUCCAUAGCUGGGUAGCUACGUUGGGCAGGGAUAACCGCUGAAAGCAUCUAAGCGGGAAGCCCCCCUGAAGAUGAGGUCUGGUUGCAAUGCGUGAGACCCCCGGUAGACCACCGGGUUGAUAGGCCGCAGGUGUAAGGGUUGAGAAACCCUCAGCUGAGCGGUACUAACGGUCGAAGGUUUGACCAC
rnacentral:rRNA from 1 species